rnacentral:rRNA from 1 species
AUUGAACGCUGGCGGCAGGCCUAACACAUGCAAGUCGAGCGGAUGAAGGGAGCUUGCUCCUGGAUUCAGCGGCGGACGGGUGAGUAAUGCCUAGGAAUCUGCCUGGUCGUGGGGGAUAACGUCCGGAAACGGGCGCUAAUACCGCAUACGUCCUGAGGGAGAAAGUGGGGGAUCUUCGGACCUCACGCUAUCAGAUGAGCCUAGGUCGGAUUAGCUAGUUGGUGUGGUAAAGGCCUACCAAGGCGACGAUCCGUAACUGGUCUGAGAGGAUGAUCAGUCACACUGGAACUGAGACACGGUCCAGACUCCUACGGGAGGCAGCAGUGGGGAAUAUUGGACAAUGGGCGAAAGCCUGAUCCAGCCAUGCCGCGUGUGUGAAGAAGGUCUUCGGAUUGUAAAGCACUUUAAGUUGGGAGGAAGGGCAGUAAGUUAAUACCUUGCUGUUUUGACGUUACCAACAGAAUAAGCACCAGCUAACUUCGUG